rnacentral:tRNA from 1 species
AGUCUUAUAGUUUAAAAAAAACGUUAAAUUGCAAAUUUAAAAUUGAACUUAAUCUAAGACUU